rnacentral:rRNA from 1 species
AGAGACAGCAGUAGCCACGGUAAUACGGAGGGGGCUAGCGUUGUUCGGAAUUACUGGGCGUAAGGCGCACGUAGGCGGCUUGGUAAGUUAGAGGUGAAAGCCCGGAGCUCAACUCCGGAAUUGCCUUUAAGACUGCCGAGCUAGUAGGUGAGAGAGGUAAGUGGAAUUCCGAGCGUAGAGGUGAAAUUCGUAGAUAUUCGGAAGAACACCAGUGGCGAAGGCGGCUUACUGGCUCAUUCUAGACGCUGAGGUGCGAAAGCGUGGGGAGCAAACAGGAUUAGAUACCCCCGUAGUCCCUGUCUCUUAUAC